GCUGGCGGCGUGCUUAACACAUGCAAGUGGAGCGACGAACCGGGGCUUGCCCCGGGGCAGAGCCGCGAACGGGUGAGUAACACGUGGGUUACCUACCCCAAUGACCGGGACAACCCGAGGAAACUCGGGCUAAUACCGGAUGUGUCUUCGGACGAAAGGAAGCUUCGGCCUCCGCAUUGGGAUGGGCCCGCGGCGCAUUAGCUUGUUGGUGGGGUAACGGCCUACCAAGGCGACGAUGCGUAGCUGGUCUGAGAGGACGAUCAGCCACACUGGGACUGAGACACGGCCCAGACUCCUACGGGAGGCAGCAGUGGGGAAUCUUGCGCAAUGCGCGAAAGCGUGACGCAGCAACGCCGCGUGGGGGAAGAAGGCCUUCGGGUUGUAAACCUCUUUCAGUUGGGACGAAGCCUUACGGGUUAAUAGCCCGUGGAGGUGACGGUACCUUCAGAAGAAGCCCCGGCUAACUACGUGCCAGCAGCCGCGGUAAUACGUAGGGGGCAAGCGUUGUCCGGAAUCAUUGGGCGUAAAGAGCGUGUAGGCGGCCCGAUAAGUCCGCUGUGAAAGUCCAGGGCUCAACCCUGGAAUGCCGGUGGAUACUGUCGGGCUCGAAUCCGGAAGAGGUGAGUGGAAUUCCUGGUGUAGCGGUGAAAUGCGCAGAUAUCAGGAGGAACACCAAUGGCGAAGGCAGCUCACUGGGACGGUAUUGACGCUGAGACGCGAAAGCGUGGGGAGCAAACAGGAUUAGAUACCCCCGUAGUCC
rnacentral:rRNA from 1 species